rnacentral:rRNA from 1 species
UACGAAGGGUGCAAGCGUUACUCGGAAUUACUGGGCGUAAAGCGUGCGUAGGUGGUGAGUUAAGUCUGUCGUGAAAGCCCCGGGCUCAACCUGGGAAUGGCGAUGGAUACUGGCUCGCUAGAGUGCGGUAGAGGAGAGUGGAAUUCCCGGUGUAGCAGUGAAAUGCGUAGAGAUCGGGAGGAACAUCAGUUGCGAAGGCGGCUCUCUGGACCAGCACUGACACUGAGGCACGAAAGCGUGGGGAGCUAACAGG